GGAUUAUUCCAGAGCAGGAUGAAUCUGGAGAGUGAAGGAACCUUCUUUUAAAAGACAAGAAUUCAGCUCAUUAAGAUUUGAACUCAGGAUUUGCUUUGGAAGGCUACUUUGACCACACUACUGAAAAAGAUGCAUGUGACAGAAGAGAACAGAAAAGGUUCUGGCUGCAACUGUGAUGUAGAUGAAGUAGGCCCAUGGACUGACUGCAUUCUUACUUGAUGCAUCCCCAGUAUUCAGCAGGAACAUGACUAAUCUUUCAAGUGCCCCUGAACAAAUCACUACCAUUACAAUCAAUUUCUUUGUACAAGUUCUCAAUCCUGAAGUCUAAGGACCAAGGUUCAUCAUCUGUUCUUGAUAAAAUAACCCAUCAUUUAUUAACAACAUGUUGCUCUCCAGAUUA